rnacentral:tRNA from 1 species
GUUCAAAUAGUUUAGGUAAAAUAUUAGUCUUGUAAACUAAAGAUAAAUUAUAUUUUUGAAUA